rnacentral:rRNA from 1 species
AGGGAAUCUUCCACAAUGGGCGAAAGCCUGAUGGAGCAACGCCGCGUGAGCGAAGAAGGCCUUCGGAUCGUAAAGCUCUGUUGUAAGGGAAGAACAAGUGCAGUAGUAACUGGCUGCACCUUGACGGUACCUUGCGAGGAAGCCACGGCUAACUACGUGCCAGCAGCCGCGGUAAUACGUAGGUGGCAAGCGUUGUCCGGAAUUAUUGGGCGUAAAGCGCGCGCAGGCGGUCUUUUAAGUCUGAUGUGAAAGCCCCCGGCUUAACCGGGGAGGGUCAUUGGAAACUGGGAGACUUGAGUACAGAAGAGGAAAGUGGAAUUCCAAGUGUAGCGGUGAAAUGCGUAGAGAUUUGGAGGAACACCAGUGGCGAAGGCGACUUUCUGGUCUGUUACUGACGCUGAGGCGCGAAAGCGUGGGGAGCGAAC